rnacentral:tRNA from 1 species
UGUGCUGUGGCUUGUUGAUCAAAGCGCCAGUCUAGCGAAUACGGAGUCGUGGGUUCGAAUCCCACCAGAGCGU